rnacentral:rRNA from 1 species
GUGUCAGCAGCCGCGGUAAGACGGAGGGAGCAAGCGUUGUUCGGAUUUACUGGGCGUAAAGGGCGUCUAGGCGGUUCAGCAAGUCAGAUGUGAAACCCCCCGGCUCAACCGGGGACCUGCAUUUGAAACUGCUGGUCUUGAGUACGGAAGAGGGAAGCGGAAUUCCUGGUGUAGCGGUGAAAUGCGUAGAUAUCAGGAAGAACACCGGUGGCGAAGGCGGCUUCCUGGUCCGAUACUGACGCUAAAGCGCGAAAGUGUGGGGAGCAAACAGGAUUAGAUACCCUGGUAGUCCACACUGUAAACGAUGGAUACUAGGUGUCGGGGGUAUCGACCCCUCCGGUGCCGAAGCUAACGCAUUAAGUAUCCCGCCUGGGGAGUACGGUCGCAAGGCUGAAACUCAAAUGAAUUGACGGGG